rnacentral:rRNA from 2 species
GACGUGACGCGACUACAAUGCAAGUCGAGCGAAUGGAUUAAGAGCUUGGUCUUAUGAAGUUUGCGGGGGACGGGUGAGUAACACGUGGGUAACCUGCCCUUAUGACUGGGAUAACUCCGGGAAACCGGGGCUAAUACCGGAUAACAUUUUGAACCGCAUGGAUCGAAAUUGAAAGGCGGCUUCGGCUGUCACUUAUGGAUGGACCCGCGUCUCAUUAGCUAGUUGGUGAGGUAACGGCUCAACAAGGCAACGAUGCGUAGCCGACCUGAGAGGGUGAUCGGCCACUCUGGGACUGAGACACGGCCCAGACUCCUACGGGAGGCAGCAUUAGGGAAUCUUCCGCAAUGGACGAAAGUCUGACGGAGCAACGCCGCGUGAGUGAUGAAGGCUUUCGGGUCUUAAAACUCUGUUGUUAGGGAAGAACAAGUGCUAGUUGAAUAAGCUGGCACCUUGACGGUACCUAACCAGAAAGCCACGGCUAACUACGUGCCAGCAGCCGCGGUAAUACGUAGGUGGCAAGCGUUAUCCGGAAUUAUUGGGCGUAAAGCGCGCGCAGGUGGUUUCUUAAGUCUGAUGUGAAAGCCCACGGCUCACCCGUGGAGGGUCAUUGGAAACUGAGAGACUUGAGUGCAGAAGAGGUAAAGUGGUAAUUCCAUGUGUAUGCGGUGAAGAUGCUGUAGAGAUAUGCGAGGAACACCAGUGGCGCAACGCGACUUAUUCAGGGUACUGCUAAGCUGACAGCUUGAAGGGCGGCGAAAAGCCGUGGGGGGGAAGCCAAAACCAGGGAAUUAGAAUAAUCCUUGGUAAGUACCACGGCCGGUCAAAACCGAAAUGAUGUGACCUAAGUGGUUGGUGGGGUUUCGAGCGCCUUGAGUGCUGAAGCUAACGCAUUAAGCACUCCGCCUGGGGAGUACGGCCGCAAGGCUGAAACUCAAAGGAAUUGACGGGGGCCCGCACAAGCGGUGGAGCAUGUGGUUUAAUUCGAAGCAACGCGAAGAACCUUACCAGGUCUUGACAUCCUCUGACAACCCUAGAGAUAGGGCUUCUCCUUCGGGAGCAGUGGUGACAGGUGGUGCAUGGUUGUCGUCAGCUCGUGUUGUGAGAUGUUGGGUUAAGUCCCGCAACGAGCGCAACCCUUGAUCUUAGUUGCCAUCAUUUAGUUGGGCACUUUAAGGUGACUGCCGGUGACAAACCGGAGGAAGGUGGGGAAGACGUCAAAUCAUCAUGCCCCUUAUGACCUGGGCUACCCCCGUGGUACAAUGGACGGUACAAAGAGGAGCAAGCCCGCGAGGUGCAACUAAUCUUAUAAAACCGUUUUCAGUUCGGAUUGUAGGUUGCAACUUGCCUACAUGAAGCUGGAAUCGCUAGUAAUCGCGGAUCAGCAUGCCGCGGUGAAUACGUUUCCGGGCCUUGUACACACCGCCCGUCACACCACGAGAGUUUGUAACCCCAGAAGUCGGUGGGGUAACCUUUUUGGAACCAGCCUCCUAAGGUGUAUAGAGGA